CCCGCAAUCACUCACACUUCUCACCGUCUGGUGCACGUUCUCGCUGUGAGAUGCGGAGGACGGUGCAGGACGGACCCGUAUCAUCUCCGGUUGGAUCUGUGAGAUGUAGAGGACAAAACCGGGAGGCUGUGAGGAGGGAACCUUCUGUUCUGCUCUGGAAGAGAGCCAGCGGUGAGGAUAUGGAGCCCUGAUGUGUCCUCUGAAAAUCAACCUCCCUCCUUCUCACUUCAUCCUUCUCCAUUUCUCCCUUCUCUCUCUCUCUCUCCCUCCUCCUUCCCUCGCUCCUCCCCCUCCCCCUCUCUCUGAGCCUGCAUGAUGACCCUGUAGCGGAGCGUGUUUUGAUCAAACAGUGGGGUCAGACUCCAGCUCCUCCUGGGCCGCCCGAGGUCACCUGGCGAGGAGCGACGACCUUCAGCAGCUCUCUCUUGCUGUUGCCGCGCGCGGCGUAAAGGUCACCAUGACGACCUGAACGAGUUUAGAAGCCGCAGCAGUGCUUAGCUGCUGCAGGGCCCAGUGAAGAGUUCCUCCCACACACAUAAUUACAGCUGAAUAGUUAUUAACAUGUUUUUUUUUUUCUUUGCAAUUGAGAGUGUUGUAUCGCACUAAUAAUCUGUAUUCGAUUUGCAUUUUAAAACCCUAUUGUGUUUGAGGGUCAUUGUUCAUUUCACGAGAAGGCCCACUGACUCCCUCCUCAUUACGUUCUGCUGCUUGAGAACACGAACGGGAACCGCACUGAUAAAGAAGGAGAACGCAGAACGAUAACGUAAUGACAUUUAAUUAAUUAUCUAAUUAAAGUCACAGAGAUACAGUUACAAAAUUGGU